UACGUAGGGUGCAAGCGUUGUCCGGAAUUAUUGGGCGUAAAGAGCUCGUAGGCGGUCUGUCGCGUCUGCUGUAAAAACUCGGGGCUUAACCCCGGGCCUGCAGUGGGUACGGGCAGACUAGAGUGCGGUAGGGGAGACUGGAAUUCCUGGUGUAGCGGUGAAAUGCGCAGAUAUCAGGAAGAACACCGACGGCGAAGGCAGCUCGCUGGGACGGUACUGACGCUGAGGCGCGAAAGCGUGGGGAGCGAACAGG
rnacentral:rRNA from 1 species